CUACUAAUUCAAAGGGGUCAAUUCCAUUUCGACUCACAUGCCGACUUAAUAAGUACUUGACUGCACCUAGUAUCUUUUCAUCACUAAGUUAGAAACUCAAAAAGUCUGAUACUAAAGUACAGUGAGUUACUUACAAGUCACCGUGGUGGUCUCAGAUCGGAGGGAUACUUAUACCCAUACCCUUCACAAGCUACUCUUGAUAGCAGAGUGCUUGACACAUGAUCACGUUC
rnacentral:lncRNA from 1 species